CUUGGUGGCUUUAAGCGAAGGGGUCACACCCGAUCCCAUCCCGAACUCGGCAGUUAAGCCCUUCUGCGCUGAUGAUAGCCCAAGUGGCAAAAGUAGGCCGCCGCCAGGA
rnacentral:rRNA from 1 species